GGCGGCGUGCUUAACACAUGCAAGUCGAGCGAUGAAGCUUCUCGGAAGUGGAUUAGCGGCGGACGGGUGAGUAACACGUGGGUAACCUGCCUCAUAGAGGGGGAAUAGCCUUUCGAAAGGAAGAUUAAUACCGCAUAAGAUUGUAGUACCGCAUGGUACAGCAAUUAAAGGAGUAAUCCGCUAUGAGAUGGACCCGCGUCGCAUUAGCUAGUUGGUGAGGUAACGGCUCACCAAGGCGACGAUGCGUAGCCGACCUGAGAGGGUGAUCGGCCACAUUGGGACUGAGACACGGCCCAGACUCCUACGGGAGGCAGCAGUGGGGAAUAUUGCACAAUGGGGGAAACCCUGAUGCCAGCAACGCCGCGUGAGUGAUGACGGUCUUCGGAUUGUAAAGCUCUGUCUUUAGGGACGAUAAUGACGGUACCUAAGGAGGAAGCCACGGCUAACUACGUGCCAGCCGCCGC
rnacentral:rRNA from 1 species